CCUACGGGUGGCUGCAGUGAGGAAUAUUGGUCAAUGGGCGCGAGCCUGAACCAGCCAAGUAGCGUGAAGGAUGACUGCCCUACGGGUUGUAAACUUCUUUUAUAAAGGAAUAAAGUGAGGCAAGUGUGCAGUUUUGUAUGGACGUUAUGAAUAAGGAUCGGCUAACUCCGUGCCAGCAGCCGCGGUAAUACGGAGGAUCCGAGCGUUAUGCGGAUUUAUUGGGGUUAACGGGAGCGGAGCUGGGUUCUUAAGUCAGUUGUGAAAGUUUGCGGCUCAACCGUAAAAUUGCAAUUGAUACUGGCAGUCUUGAGUCCAGUUGAGGUAGGCGGAAUUCGUUGUGUAGCGGU
rnacentral:rRNA from 1 species